ensembl:ncRNA F46C5.13 ncRNA
GAGUUCGGAACUAUACCACACACACCGGGUCAAACAAACAAGGCGAGCUUCGGAUUGGACUGAAGAAGGGAGCACUCCUAAUUAAAAAUGCUCCCCGGUUGGUAGAGGG